rnacentral:rRNA from 1 species
GACAGAGGGGGCAAGCGUUGCUCGGAAUUACUGGGCGUAAAGGGCGCGUAGGCGGGAUGGCAAGUCGGUCGUGAAAUCCCUCGGCUCAACCGAGGAACGUCGAUCGAUACUGCUGUUCUUUGAGGAUUGCAGAGGAGACUGGAAUUCCCGGUGUAGCGGUGAAAUGUGUAGAGAUCGGGAGGAACACCGGUGGCGAAGGCGG